GACGAAGGGGGCUAGCGUUGUUCGGAAUUACUGGGCGUAAAGCGCGUGUAGGCGGUUGUCCAAGUUGGAUGUGAAAGCCUUGAGCUUAACUCAAGAAAUGCAUUCAGGACUGGAUGACUAGAGGACCGGAGAGGAUAGUGGAGUUCCCAGUGUAGUGGUGAAAUACGUAGAGAUUGGGAAGAACACCAGUGGCGAAGGCGGCUAUCUGGACGGUUUCUGACGCUAAGACGCGAAAGCGUGGGGAGCGAACAGG
rnacentral:rRNA from 1 species